CCUACGGGCGGCAGCAGUGAGGAAUAUUGGUCAAUGGACGAGAGUCUGAACCAGCCAAGUAGCGUGAAGGAUGACUGCCCUAUGGGUUGUAAACUUCUUUUAUAAAGGAAUAAAACGAGGCACGUGUGCCUUUUUGCAUGUACUUUAUGAAUAAGGAUCGGCUAACUCCGUGCCAGCAGCCGCGGUAAUACGGAGGAUCCGAGCGUUAUCCGGAUUUAUUGGGUUUAAAGGGAGCGUAGAUGGGUUGUUAAGUCAGUUGUGAAAGGUUGCGGCUCAACCGUAAAAUUGCAAUUGAUACUGGCAGUCUUGAGUACAGUAGAGGUAGGCGGAAUUCGUGGUGUAGCGGUGAAAUGCUUAGAUAUCACGAAGAACCCCGAUUGCGAAGGCAGCUUACUAAACUGUGACUGACAUUGAUGCUCGAAAGUGUGGGUAUCAAACAGGAUUAGAUACCCUGGUAGUC
rnacentral:rRNA from 1 species